GGAGAGGUGCUCGAGUGGUUGAAGAGGCACGCCUGGAAAGCGUGUAAACCUCUAAAGGGUUUCACGAGUUCGAAUCUCGUUCUCUCCG
rnacentral:tRNA from 1 species